CAACGCUCAUCCCCAGAUCUGUUACAAGUCCUCCGGCGAGCUGAGCACCGGGGUCCUUUUCUUACGCGUGUGUUGCUAUUGUCCACACUUCUCAGGUGCGGUGGCCAUGCCAGGGUCACCAUUGGACUGCGGACUAGGCCUUCCUGUCCUUGGAUGCAUGGAGGUUGGCCGGGUCCCCAGAGGAAGUGUGGUCCCCUGUGGGCACGCUGCGGACAUCGGAUUGUGAAGACGUGGUGGCCACGCCAGGCUCGCCGUCGGCCUUCAAGACUAGGCCUUCCUGUCCUUGGAUGUGUGGAGGUUGGCCGGGUCCCAGAGAAGUGUGGUCCCGGGUGGGCACGCUGUGGACGUCGGAUCACGAAGACGGUGUGGUGGCCACGCCAGGCUCACCGUCAGCCUGCAGGACUAGAACUUCCUGUCCUUGGAUGUGUGGAGGUUUGCCGAGUACCCAGAAGAAGUGUGGUCCCGUGUGGGCAGGCUGCAGACAUCGGAUCGUAG
rnacentral:lncRNA from 1 species